rnacentral:RNase_P_RNA from 1 species
AGAGUUGGUCAGGCAGUCGCUGUAUUAGCUGAAUUUAAGUAAUACAGAGGAAAGUCCGGGCUCCACAGGGCAAGGUACCAGAUAACAUCUGGGAGGCGUGAGCCUACGGAAAGUGCAGCAGAAAAUAAACCGCCUCACCACUCUUGAGUGGUGAGGUAAGGGUGAAAUGGUGCGGUAAGAGCGCACCGCGUGACUGGUAACAGGAGCGGCAUGGUAAACCCUACCUGGAGCAAGAUCAAAUAGAGAAGCAGACGCGCGGCCCGCGCGGCUCCUGGGUAGAUCGCUUGAGCUAUCCGGUGACUUCUGGCCUAGAUGAAUGACUGUCCUCGACAACACCCGGCUUACCGACCAACUCUACAC